rnacentral:rRNA from 1 species
UCCCUACGGGGGGCAGCAGUGAGGAAUAUUGGUCAAUGGACGAGAGUCUGAACCAGCCAAGUCGCGUGAAGGAUGACUGCCCUAUGGGUUGUAAACUUCUUUUAUAUGGGAAUAAAAUGUUCCACGUGUGGGAUUUUGUAUGUACCAUAUGAAUAAGGAUCGGCUAACUCCGUGCCAGCAGCCGCGGUAAUACGGAGGAUCCGAGCGUUAUCCGGAUUUAUUGGGUUUAAAGGGUGCGUAGGCGGAUCGUUAAGUCAGUGGUCAAAUUGAGGGGCUCAACCCCUUCCCGCCAUUGAAACUGGCGU